UAUAACCACUAGGGGUGCAUCAUGCUGAGAGGCGAAAGCCGACUCUUUGAACCUGAUUUCUGGGUAAUACCAGCGUAGGGAAGUGGUUAAAAGACUGU
rnacentral:ncRNA from 2 species